UACGGGGGGGGCAAGCGUUGUUCGGAAUCACUGGGCGUAAAGGGCGCGUAGGCGGCCCGCACAAGUCUGCGGUGAAAACCCCCGGCUUAACCGGGGGCCGGCCGUGGAAACUGUCGGGCUAGAGGCCGGGAGAGGGCAGCGGAAUUCCCGGUGUAGCGGUGAAAUGCGUAGAGAUCGGGAGGAACACCGGCGGCGAAGGCGGCUGCCUGGACCGGCCCUGACGCUGAGGCGCGAAAGCUAGGGGAGCAAACAGG
rnacentral:rRNA from 1 species